AUUGAACGCUGGCGGAAUGCUUUACACAUGCAAGUCGAACGGCAGCACGGGAGCUUGCUCCUGGUGGCGAGUGGCGAACGGGUGAGUAACAUAUCGGAACGUACCUAGUAAUGGGGGAUA
rnacentral:rRNA from 1 species